rnacentral:precursor_RNA from 12 species
UUAUCCUACCCUGAUCACCUCCAGCAGCCUCACUUGGAUAAAGUGCUUUAUUUUGUGGAUAAUGCUGAAAUAAGGACUUUAUCCAUGGAAGCUGUUGGCAUGGACCAUUCAGCCAAACCA